GAGAUGAGAUGUUAUCUGGUCAAGACUUCCUUCCUGAUCUGUUAGAUGAGAGCUCAGUCCACUCACCCCCCUUCCUCUCACCACGGAUGGCGCAGUACUUUUAGUUCCCCUAUUGACGUUUUUAGGAAGCCCACUUCACUUUUUGUAACUUCUGUGAUAGCAACCUUUGCUUCCUGUUCUGUUAAAUGCAAUCUGUAUCUCUCAGCUCCAUGUUUUGGGAGAUGGAAGGCAGAAGCUAGAGAAUGCCUAGAUAAAUGAGAGCCGUCAACCUGCAGCUCAAAGCAGCAUACAACAAAGAGACCCUGCCUUGAACAAAGUGAACAGUGAGGACCAACACCCAAGUUAAUGUUGCUGCUAAGAAAGCAAAGGCUUCUAGUACUUGACUCAUAAGGCCACAGAGGAUGGUGUUAAUGCUCAAGGAGAACCGCUGGCUUGAGAGGACCCAUGGGCGAUGUCCUGGAGGGGAUCAGGGAGACCUUUGAAUUUCAUGCCCAGACAGAGCUCACAUCAGGCCGUCCAUGCAGGAAACUAAGGCUGGAACAGGAAGAGGACGCCGUCUCCUUAGCACACUCACAGAGACAGGGCCUCUCUUCUGCCUGAAGAUCGCUGAUGAGGCUGGCUGUCCAGUGAGCCGCAGGUAUCCGACUAUUGCUGCUGUCCCGGUGCUAGGAUUAGAGGUGUGCACAUCUAUUCCUCCAUCCCAUCCUCCCGCACUUGGAUUUAUCCCACCUCCUCUUCUAUAAUGUUCCUUGACCUUGGAGAUGGGGACCCAGAUUCCUACUUUUAUAAAUGCGUAACCACCA